GACGAACGCUGGCGGCGUGCUUAACACAUGCCAGUCGAACGGAAAGGCCCUGCUUUUGUGGGGUGCUCGAGUGGCGAACGGGUGAGUAACACGUGAGUAACCUGCCCUUGACUUUGGGAUAACUUCAGGAAACUGGGGCUAAUACCGGAUAGGAGCUCCUGCUGCAUGGUGGGGGUUGGAAAGUUUCGGCGGUUGGGGAUGGACUCGCGGCUUAUCAGCUUGUUGGUGGGGUAGUGGCUUACCAAGGCUUUGACGGGUAGCCGGCCUGAGAGGGUGACCGGCCACAGUGGGACUGAGAUACGGCCCAGACUCCUACGGGAGGCAGCAGUGGGGAAUAUUGCACAAUGGGCGGAAGCCUGAUGCAGCAACGCCGCGUGCGGGAUGACGGCCUUCGGGUUGUAAACCGCUUUCGCCUGUGACGAAGCGUGAGUGACGGUAAUGGGUAAAGAAGCACCGGCUAACUACGU
rnacentral:rRNA from 1 species